AGAGUUUGAUCCUGGCUCAGGACGAACGCUGGCGGCAUGCCUAAUACAUGCAAGUCGAACGAAAUCCAUUCAGUGGCAACACUGAUGAAGAUUUAGUGGCGAACGGGUGCGUAACACGUGAGCAACCUGCCUCGGAGACCGGGAUAACAGUGGGAAACCGCUGCUAAUACCGGAUGUCCCCACGAUCUCGCAUGGGAUUGUGAGGAAAAGGAUUCCGCUCCGAGAGGGGCUCGCGGCCUAUCAGCUUGUUGGUGGGGUAAUGGCCUACCAAGGCAACGACGGGUAGCUGGUCUGAGAGGACGAUCAGCCACACUGGGACUGAGACACGGCCCAGACUCCUACGGGAGGCAGCAGUAGGGAAUCUUGCGCAAUGGGCGAAAGCCUGACGCAGCAAUGCCGCGUGGGGGAUGAAGGCCUUCGGGUUGUAAA
rnacentral:rRNA from 1 species